rnacentral:rRNA from 1 species
ACACUGACGUCGCGACGCAUAUCAAUAAGCGGAGGAAAAGAAACUAACAAGGAUUCCCCUAGUAACGGCGAGUGAAGCGGGAAGAGCUCAAAUUUGAAAUCUUAAAGGGUUUCCCUUUACGAAUUGUAGUUUAAAGAAGUGUUUUCUGUUGAGGUUUUGGUAAAAGUUCUUUGGAAUAGGACAUCAUAGAGGGUGAGAAUCCCGUAUUUGACCAUUACUUUCCAACUUUGUGAUACACUUUCAAAGAGUCGGAUUGUUUGGGAAUGCAGUCCAAAAUGGGUGGUAAAUUUCAUCUAAAGCUAAAUAUUGGCGAGAGACCGAUAGCGAACAAGUACCGUGAGGGAAAGAUGAAAAGAACUUUGAAAAGAGAGUUAAACAGUACGUGAAAUUGUCAAAAGGGAAGCGUUUGACACCAGUGUUGUUUUCUCGAAAAUCAACUAAAAAUGGUGGGAUGUUGUGUUGUAUUGACUUUAUCAGCUUUCUGCACUUUUUUUCCUAUCUUUUUUAAUGUACUUUUCGUUUAACAAGUCAACAUCAAUUUCUUUUGUUGUAAAAGAGUCAUUGGAAGGUGGCUUUCUUUUCGGAGAAAGUGUUUAUAGCCUUUGGCUUCUGCAAUCGGAGAGAUUGAGGUCUGCAGCGUAGAUCCUUCGGGGUUAGAUACAUUUGUGCUAAGUUAUAGCCUUUCAUAGACAACUUGUUGACUAUGAUCAGUCAUGUAGCUUACUCGCUUAUGUCAUUUUACCUACGCUUAGGAUGUUGAUGUGAUACUGCGAGCA